AACGAACGCUGGCGGCAGGCUUAACACAUGCAAGUCGAACGCCCCGCAAGGGGAGUGGCAGACGGGUGAGUAACGCGUGGGAAUCUACCUAGUUCUACGGAACAACAGUUGGAAACGACUGCUAAUACCGUAUACGCCCUACGGGGGAAAGAUUUAUCGGAAUUAGAUGAGCCCGCGUAAGAUUAGCUAGUUGGUGGGGUAAUGGCCUACCAAGGCGACGAUCUUUAGCUGGUCUGAGAGGAUGAUCAGCCACACUGGGACUGAGACGCGGCCCAGACUCCUACGGGAGGCAGCAGUGGGGAAUAUUGGACAAUGGGCGCAAGCCUGAUCCAGCCAUGCCGCGUGAGUGAUGAAGGCCUUAGGGUUGUAAAGCUCUUUCACCGAUGAAGAUAAUGACGGUAGUCGGAGAAGAAGCCCCGGCUAACUUCGUGCCAGCAGCCGCAGUAA
rnacentral:rRNA from 1 species